rnacentral:lncRNA from 1 species
UGCAACAACCUCAAAGUUUCACGGAUUAAAUUUAAGUGUUUAUUGGAUGGUUAGUACAGUUCAAACAUGUAAUUAAUUGUAAUUAAUUGCAUACAGUGAAUGGUGAAUAAAUAUAACACAUUGUCUCAACUCAUCGAUUAUAAUACUAGUGCAUAUAUAUCUUUUAAAUUCUUCGACUAAAUUCUUCUCCAACUUAUAACACUUUUUCAGUCAGGGCAAAAUCGGGUUACCCAAGUCGCACUUCUCUGUGCUGGCACGGUCUCUUCUACCUUAACUAAGGUCCUGGGUUCGAAUCCAGCCUUGGGCAUGCAGCAGUGUUAAAACUUUUAGGGAGAAUUUGUCGUCCAUUUGAGUUCCAUAAUGCUCGAGGGAUUAGUCUCCGCAGUUGCGAGCGGAGGAUACCCAGUUUAUA